UUUGUGCUUAAAGCUACGACUGGGUAAGACCACUCAUAGCGUUCGUAAACAUGGCGGCCGCACGCGCUAUAGACGUUGGUAAACCAAGAGAGUUGAGAAUGUUUCGAGAAGGAAAGGAUUUUGCGAUCUCCGUGAUGGUGAAAUAUUGAUACAAUUGGACGUAUUUAUGUUUGAUAACGUUAAAUAUAUUCGUUAUAUCAUUCUCUGCAUUAAACGUCCAAGGCAAAUGAUAUGUGUGAUAUUGGGAUAAUUAAUUCGUUAAAUAGGUUCAUUGACAUUGUGUCAAAAUGGCCUGGGUCAACACACAUGACGCCUCUGUCUUUGACAGCUUUGGUUUGAACUUUGAAGACCUUUCCUGGAAGAAAACCACCAGGGAUACCUUCUUGGUGACUCCGGCUAUUCGUUAAAAAAAUAUGUAUAAACGCCCUUGCUUAGGCCAACAACAGAUGCAGUGGUGAGGAACAACCAUGCCCAGUCAAGUUUUUGGAUUGUGGUUGAGAGGGCUUUUGGACUGCUGAUAGUAGAUUAAGGUAUUUACAUUUACAACAUCUAUGUUUAUUUUGGUCAUAUUAUAACAGUUAAAAACAUUCAGUUAUUUAAAUCAACAUAUGACACCAUUUACCAUAUAUUAACCCACAAAAUAUAUGGAUUGACAAGUGCAAUGCAUAAUAUCUUUCUCU